ensembl:lncRNA
CCACUGGUUAUGUCCUGAGAUGUGGACUGUGUCGUGGCCUCUCCACACCUUCCAUGCACACUCUGUGGAGGACCAGGAAGGCUUAGAGCCCAAGAUGAGGAAAUGGAGGUUUAGAGAAGUUAAGACCCCUGGGAGAAGAAGCGGAGCAUGGAUUGGAAUCUAUAUGACUAACUCCAGAUCCCCGACCUUAACUACCAGGCCAUGUGAAAAAAAUGACUUUCUCCUGUGCUGCCGGCAGCCUUGAGGUGCAGGGGCCCUGCCUCCCACUCCAGGGCAGCCUGCUGAAGCCCAUGGUUCCCAGCUGCCUGUUGGCUGGCCUAGAAGCUGUGGCCCCACUCUGCGAUUCUGGGUCUUGGCUGGAAGUUUCAGAAGCACACGCAGCAGUGACUUCCUCCUUGCGGUGGCGACUGGAUCAGCAACUGCCAGGACAGUUACAGCAUGUGAGAUCUAGUUCCCUGACCAGGGAGUGAGCAUGGACCACCUGCAUUGGGAGCAUGGAGUCUUAACCACUGGACCAUCAGGGAAGUCCUGGCAGGACACCUUUGAAGAAUAAACGGCAGGGGAGCAGAGGUUGGUGAGAAGAGCCUUCAGGCAACAAGGCAGGCCUGAGACUUGCCGAAGGAGAGAGGACAGGAAAGAGGAUUUGGGUAGAAAGAACCUUAGGCUGGAGCUCAGCCCCAAGAAAGUCUUGGCCAGGCUGAUUGGAAGCCCAAGAGCCGAGGCAUUUCCUGACCAGGCUGUGCUCCUCUUGCUGUUCUCUGGAUAAAAGAAUUAGGUGCAGUCUCUUCUUUCUGCCUUGAAUGUCUGGAACUGGAAUUGUCCUCCUAUGACUCUAAAGAUGGUGGAACAGAAAUGAAGAAAGAGGCUGAGCUACUGACGAUAUUACUGAACUGUUGCUUGGUGAUGUCAUUUAUGCCUAUUCUGGGCUACUUACUAGAUGAGAAAAAUAAACCUAUCUCCAGAUUUCUCAUAUGAGAAAAACAAACCACACUUCCUUGAAGGCUCUAUUAGCUGAGUUUUAUGUUAUUCCAGCCAAAACACCAAAACAUCAGAAGAACUUGGUGUGACAGAGAGCCCAGAUGUUGAUGAUGUCAUCUGGCUCCAUGAGGACAGCUGUGCCUGAAGCUAGUUCAAUGCCCAGAACUUUUUGAUAUAGAGACAGUAAGUUCUCAUUUUGCUUCAACAGUUUAGGUUGGAUUUUCUGUUGCCUGAAAUGAAAAGACUCCUCAUAUAACUAUUAACAGAUAGCCAAGUAGACCAGUAGAGUUUUCCAGCUCCUCUCAGUCACUCCUCCAUAGUUUUUGGUGAGAGAGUGAGAACGUUAAAGGAAGGAGAGAAGGAAAGAAUGACACACAGUAGUAAGGCUUGAGCUAGUCUGACAGAAGACUGGUAUGCUUUUAUAGUUCCGUGUCCAGAACUUGCUAGCUUCCCUAGGGGUCCUAGCUUCCCUCCUCAGGGUUUUUGUUCCUGACUGGUAAAGGUUUACCCUUGACACCUUGCAAGCACCCUGACUACCGUGAGUACUGCGACUCAGUUUCCCAUUUCAAGCAACCCAGCGCCGCAUUUCUGGGGUCCUUCAUUCUCCAUGAUUCUUCCUUAGACGUAGCAUGACCCAUGCCUAUUAACCCAGCUCCUUAACCAGUCUGGCUGUCUCCUAGGUUUCCCUUGGUCUAAGGGCCAUAACCCCCUGGUACUUACUGGUCUCCAGGACUUUCAUCACUUCUGAGAAGGGACCAUUUAGUCCAAUCUUGGUGUGGACCAGCAUUAAUAGGCAAUUGCCACAGGGAGAUAAUACAGGAAGAAAAAUGGCUAAAAAUAUACAGUGAAUCACAGAAAAUUACAUCUCUUAAACCCUACAGUGUAUUCCUAUUGCCAUAGCAACCCCCGGCUAGUAAAGACAGAGCUGAUUUAUUGCUGGCUUUCCCCAGCACUCAGUUCUGCCAGAAGCACCUCCAGCCUGUGGUGGGAGUCCCAGUGAGGAGAGAGAUGGGGACAUCACUGAUCCGGUGUUUUCUCCCCUCCAUCCCUUCCAGUGUAUUUCUGUAGUGAAGGAACCUGAGUUGCUUCCAUUGCAACCCAGAUUGUCUCCCAGUGCCUUUUGUGAGAUGAAGGUGACUGUUUCUAACCUCUGACAAAAUAUCCUGCAUCUUGCCAACAUGAAUCCCCGUGGCAGCAGAGGGCUGACUUCCUGGAGGAGUCAGUAUGGAUGGGCACGUGAGGAGGCUGUUGGUACAAGGCUGGUCUGAAUGGAGGAGGGGAGGAGUCUGCCUCGUUCCUUCUCUUUUCCUUUCCUUCACCUCUCCACCUGGCAUUCUCUUUCCCCCACUUCCCUGCCCCUUCUGUCUCCUCUGCUAUUUCCUCAGUAGGUCCACUGUGACACGGACUGCCCGGGAGAUGGGAGGAGUCAAGCCUUUACUUAAAAUAUGAGUCUGAUACAGAGAGAGACAAUUCAAUGCACUUUAACAAACAUUUUGUUAUUCCAUUGGCACUCUAAAAUUCAUUGGUUCGUAAUGUGUAUUUUGUCAUAAUGUUAAAAACGAGAUUCCUGAUUGAUAUUGAAAUUUUCAUAGUUUGGAGGAAUAUUCUGGACAAGUUCUGGAACAUCCUGUCUCAAAAAUAGCCCUGCCUGGACAUGUCAAAAGGACAAAGGAGAGAGCUGGAAGUCUCUCCCACUGGCCAAAUUGCCAUUUGGCAACCUUCAUAGUAGUAAUUGGUUCAGGCAAGAGCUAUCAAUGGAGGUAUAAGCCAGUGGGUAAAAAUUUGAUGAAAAGCAGUAUUUUUAUACAAUCUCAAAGUUCCUUCUCAUAAAAUAUGCAUUGAUUUCAAAAAGAAAUAUAGUAACUUCGCAGUGGAGAGGCUUGACAGUCCCCACCUGAAACAAACAGUCCAAGUUAGCAUCACAAGGGACAAAUCAGUAUCAUGCCUCUCCUGAUGUGAUGCGCUAAGAAGGGCACAGUAUCCCCUCCGUGGUACUCCUGCCAAAACUGCGCAGCCUGAAUCUAAUUGUGAAGGAACAUCAGAAGGUCUAAAAGUAGGGACAGUCUAUUCAAUAAGCGGCUUUUAUUC